AGCAACACGAUGGGACGGUACCCGGUGGC
rnacentral:sRNA from 1 species